rnacentral:rRNA from 1 species
GAUGAACGCUGGCGGCGUGCUUAACACAUGCAAGUCGAACGAAGCACUUUAUUUGAUUUCCUUCGUGACUGAUUGUUUUGUGAGUGAGUGUCGGACGUAUGAAUCACGCGUGUGUGACCUGCCUUGUACAGGGGGAUAACAGUUGAAAACGGCUGCGACUACCUCAUAGGCGCACGGCAUCGCAUGAUGCAGUGUGAAAAACUCCGGUGUUAUAAGAUGGGCCCGCGUGGGAUUAGCUAGUUGGUGAGGUAACGGCCCACCAAGGCGACGAUCCAUAGCCGAUAUGAGAGCGCGACCCGCAACACUAGGACUGAGACCAGGCCCGAACCCCUCGGGGAGGAAGCAGUGGGGAAUAUUGAACAAUGGGCGAAAGCCUGAUGCAGCGACGCUGCGUGAGUGAAGAAGUCGUUAGGUAUGUAAAGCUUGCUAAGAAGGGAAGAUAAUGACGGUACCUGAAUAAGAAGCCCCGGCUAAAUACGUG